CAGCAGUGGGGAAUAUUGGGCAAUGCCCGAAAGGGUGACCCAGCAACGCCGCGUGGAGGAAGAAGGCCUUCAGGUCGUAAACUCCUGUCCUAGGGGACGAACAUCCGGGUUAACACCCCGGAUUGACCUCCCCCUCAGAAAAAGCCCCGGCUAGCUACGUG
rnacentral:rRNA from 1 species